CACGUAGGCAGAUUUCUAAGUCAGGGGUGAAAUCCUGGAGCUCAACUCCAGAACUGCCUUUGAUACUGGGAAUCUCGAGUCCGGGAGAGGUGAGUGGAACUGCGAGUGUAGAGGUGAAAUUCGUAGAUAUUCGCAAGAACACCAGUGGCGAAGGCGGCUCACUGGCCCGGUACUGACGCUGAGGUGCGAAGCGUGGGAGCAAACA
rnacentral:rRNA from 1 species